UACAGAGGGGGCAAGCGUUGUUCGGAAUUACUGGGCGUAAAGGGCGCGUAGGCGGCCUUCUAAGUCGAACGUGAAAUCCCCGGGCUCAACCCGGGAACUGCGUCCGAUACUGGAAGGCUUGAAUUCGGGAGAGGGAUGCGGAAUUCCAGGUGUAGCGGUGAAAUGCGUAGAUAUCUGGAGGAACACCGGUGGCGAAGGCGGCAUCCUGGACCGGCAUUGACGCUGAGGCGCGAGAGCCAGGGGAGCAAACGGG
rnacentral:rRNA from 1 species